rnacentral:lncRNA from 10 species
AAUCACUGAAUCUUAUUAAAAUGAAGAGUCUGAUAUUAACAGCAUUGAGGUGAACUCUGAUAUUCUGCAUUUCUAACAAGCUUCCCGAACAAUACAUAUUACGUAAACACACAUUUUUUAAAAAAAAGGAUACACAUAAAACACAAAAUAACUUUUUGGGGAUGGGAAAGGAGAUGAAAAUUGAGUAUGAGGAAAUAAGAGAAUAUAUAAAUAAAGGUAGAUAAGGACCUUACAUGAACCAAUGAUGAUAAAAGGGCCAUGGGCCAGGCACAGUGGCUCAUGACUGUCAUCCCAGCACCUCAGGAGGCUGAGGCAGGAGGACUGCUUGAGCUUAGGAGUUGAUGACCAGCCUGAGCCACACAGGGAGACCUCCUCUCUACUAAAAAUAAAAAACAUCAGCCAGGCAUGGUGGCACUUGCCUGCUGUCCCAGCUACUCAAGAGGCUGAGGCUGGAGGAUCACUUGAGCCUGGAGUUUGAGGCUGCAGUGAGUUAUGAUUGCACCACUGCGCUCCACUCUGGGCAACAGACCAAGACCCUGUCUCAAAAAAAAAAGUGGGGGGGUUUUGAACUGAACUGAGGAGUGAUUAACUUAACCCUCUGACCUAAGGAUCUCCAUCCCUCUCUGCACCAAAAAAAAAAAAGGUAAUAAAGAAAACACUAGGAAUAAACAAAUGAGAAGCUCAC